rnacentral:rRNA from 1 species
GAUCAUGGCUCAAGAUGAACGCUAGCUACAGGCUUAACACAUGCAAGUCGAGGGGCAGCAUUUCAGUUUGCUUGCAAACUGGAGAUGACGACCGGCGCACGGGUGAGUAACACGUAUCCAACCUGCCGAUAACUCGGGGAUAGCCUUUCGAAAGAAAGAUUAAUACCCGAUGGCAUAAUUAGACCGCAUGGUCUUAUUAUUAAAGAAUUUCGGUUAUCGAUGGGGAUGCGUUCCAUUAGG